rnacentral:rRNA from 1 species
UACGUAGGGUGCGAGCGUUAAUCGGAAUUACUGGGCGUAAAGCGUGCGCAGGCGGUUCGUUAAGUCAGCUGUGAAAGCCCCGGGCUCAACCUGGGAACUGCGGUUGAAACUGGCGAACUAGAAUCUGGCAGAGGGGGGUGGAAUUCCACGUGUAGCAGUGAAAUGCGUAGAGAUGUGGAGGAACACCGAUGGCGAAGGCAGCCCCCUGGGCCUGCACUGACGCUCAUGCACGAAAGCGUGGGGAGCAAACAGG